rnacentral:lncRNA from 1 species
CCUCGGCCCCCCUCACCAGGCUGCCUUCCCUCGUGGGUGCCCUUAUCCUCAUGGUCCAGCCGUCUCGGUUCCAGGUGGUAGAAAGGAGGAAGGGAUGAAGAAGAGCCGCAACAAGCAGGCCGCCUCGUUCGUAAGGAGUAUUACGGAAGCUGCCAGAGGAAACUUCCGCUUACAUCUCAUUGGCCAAAACAUAAUCGUAAUCACACGACCACACGCAACAGCAAAGGAGGCUGGGAGAUAUGCAGUUUUAACGUCCCAAACAAUUUGCCCAGCAGCAAAAUGGAGGUUUCCAUUUUAGUAAUUUAUUUCAAUAACGAAUAUUGGGGGACAGACUACAGUAUUUGCCACGCCACAUUUUAGAAGCAUCUCUGCAUCACUAUGAACACUUGGGAUGCUCGCCUUCGGACCUUCUGAAGCGAGGGUGGUUCUUUGAAUGACCUUCUGCCUGAGAAGUUCACCAAUUCCUGUCAUAGCUUCAUAUCCCUGAUCAAUGUGCUCAGAAAAGAGCAGAUGUGACCCCGGACACUGCACUGCAGACUCUUAGAAACUAGUUACUGAAAAUCUGUUACGUGAUGAUGUAAUGUCAGGACGUGCUCCAGCAGCAUCUCAAAUGCUGGAAAGGAUUAAUGUGAGGAACAGGCUGGCAGCCUGCUGAAGUCAUUUAAAAGACAGCAAAUGCUACGGAAUAAACAAGCAAAAAUGAAUGCUAGUUGGUUAUUAAAGUAAAAUUUCUUACUUAAUUGAAGACUGAUAUCACUUGAACUAAAUCUGACUACAGAAGGGCCAUCUUCCCGCUAAGUGCAGAGAGAAGAGUUGACAUUGCAUUUUGUAUAGUUGUGUAUGGAGAUGGCUUAUGUCACUCUGUCUUGAUACCCUUUUUCACAGAAUCAUCAUGCGAACUCAGACAUGAUUCAAAUCCAGUCAGAUCUUUACGCAGAGAUUAAGAAUCACAAAGUCUCUAUUAUUAACUAGAUUUUGGAUGUGAGUAUUUCAUUGUAAACCUCCUGGAUCCAUUGCCUUUCCAGCCAAUCUGGGUCAAGACCUCUCAGCUGCCAUGUGCUUUCCCCAGGUUUCCCGGGUUUCUAAUCUCCAGCUAGCUCUGUUCUUCAGCUGCUUUUUGACUGGUAAUGAGUAACUGGCUGGCUUACUUGCAGACUUUAUACACAAAAGUACAAGAAACCUGACAUUCUUGGUGGACGGAUUCAAUUAAUUAUCUCCUCUAAACUUGUUCUCCCCGCUGGACUUGUUCUAAUAGGUGUUUUUGUCCUCACUAUUUAUGUCUGGGGUUAUAUGGCACCAUGGAUAUUGAGUUUCUCUCUCUCUGGGGCCUCAAUCAUUGCCUGAUAGGGGAUGAUCAGAUCAUAAUGAUUAUUUCAGGCCCUUUCUCCUCCGGCUGUGCCUUACCCGAGAAACAGCCCAGAGGGUCUCAGAGUUAAAUCGCUUCUUCGAGCCACCUUCUGGGGCAGCUUCUUCAAGUAGAAAAAAUAUGAACCUUUUAAGUGAAGUUUGGCCUCAUUGAUAAACACGGGAUUCGCAUCUUCCCGUUCUGGUGGUUGCCUGCUCAGAUAAUCUUUCUUUAUUGUGGUGGUUUUAAUGACUCAUUUUUGUUCUAAAUUUUUUUCUCUCUAAAGAGCAAUAAGUGCACAUAGUAAAAACUUCAAGCAGUACAAAGUAUAUAUAAUAAGUCUCCUUGUACCCCUUGAGACCCAGUCUACCCCUUGAGACCCAGUCUACCCCUUGAGUGCUCCAGUGUCUAAAGCUGCCCGUCACACAGAGAAAAAGUUCCAUUUCUAUAGCCUGUGAUUAAAAACUGUCAGGAUCUCUCCAUGAUCUCUUUCCCUCAGUUUUUUCCUACUCCAGGCACAUACCCUCUGCUCCAGCCGUACUUGCUAUAGAGUUUCUCUUCCUUUUUUUAACUUUAUUGAGAUAACUUUGACAUAGAAAAAUUAUAUAUAUUUAAGGUGUUUAACUUGAUGUUUUGAUAUACGUAUACAUUGUGAAAAGAUUACCACAAUCAAGCUACAUUACUUACCCAUGACCUCUACAUAGUAAUUAGCUUGUGUAUGUGUGUGUGUGGUGAGAAGACAAUUUAAGAUCUACCCUCUGAGGAAACUUCAAGUGUAUAACACAGUGUUGUUCACUAUGGUCACCAUGCUGUAUAUUAUAUCUCCUGCACUCUUUCAUCUUGCAUAACUGAAACUUUGUACCCUUGACCAGCAUCUCAUCUCUCCUAUCCCUGCCAACCACUGUUCUACUCUUUGCUUCUAAGAAUUUGACUAUUUUAGAUUCUAAAUAUAAGCGAGAUCAUGCACUGUUUGCCUUUCUGUGUCUGGAUUAUUUCACUGAGCAUAAUGCCGUCCAGUUUCUGGAUGAGGCCUGGGUCUUUGCUUGUGGACACCCUGUCCCUGGGUCUUUGCUCUGGUGGUCCGCUCUGGUGGAGAGCCCUUCAUUCUCCUAUGAAGCUUGCCCCACCUUCCAGGCCCUAUUCAGGUUUUCAUUAUCACUGACUUCCUUGUAUUCGCCUCACAUAUUUGUCUCCACUACUAAACCAUCAGAUCUAAGAGGGACGGAGUCCAGAAACCUGGGCUCUAUGCUCAGCUCAGCCAUUAAUAAUUGUGUGGCCCAGAGAAAGACAGGAAGCCUCCCAGGGCCUGGUUUUCUCAUCUGUUACAACAUUUUUGAAAACAAAGAGCCAACUCCUACAAGACUCAAGAAGAGAGCAGUAACUCACGCUGCCUGUAUGUUCUUAAAGUAGGGAGAGAGAUUCUCUCUUCUCUAUAUAGAUGAAAAUAAAUAUUUGAAGUAAAUAAAUUAGUUUACUGUUGUCCUGUGAGAAAUACAAGCCUAGUGGAAAAACAAAGAAUGUGUUUAUGGAACUAUAUGAGCUAAACUGGUUAUUAUAAAUCUGAGUGGUUAAUAAGAAAUUCCAACGUCCAUGGAAUGUUUACUUAAUGUACUAAGACCCUCCGUUCAAGCAGAUAACUUGCAAGUUGAUUGAAUUCAUGAACUUUUAUUGGUGGUCUUUCAAAUUAAAUAAAAUCCUUUGCCUUUUCUUGAAGUGUUGCUUCUAGCAGGAGCUAUGUCUUAUGCACUAUCAGGGAGGGACUGUGAAGAGCUUGUGACCUUAUUUCACAGUUAAAAUACUCAGACCAUAAUCACUAAGAUGUCCUUCUAGGAAAGAAUUUCAUUUAAAUCCAGCUAAAGUAGACUUUAAUAUUCAUAAAAGGAUAGAAUUGUUCUCCGAAUAAAUCUAUCAUGGAAAGUGUUGUGGCAAGUAUGAAUAAAGCCAAGGAGCUUAAUAUUUUAAUGGAAAUUUUUCUUCCAAAGACUAGAAAUAAAAAUAGAAAAAAUUUAACCUUUCAGGUCAUGGAAAUGAACUCAUAAAAUUCUCAGACCACAAGUGUUAAGGUAUCUUCACAGAAAAAGAGGAAAUAAAAAGAAUCAUAAGAGUUUUUCGGUCUAACUUUGUGCAAGUAAUUUUGAAAACCUGGAUAAAAGAAAGAAUAUUUUGAAAAAUGUAAUCUACCAAAACUCAACCAAAGAUGAAAAAUCUAGGCAGACAGAUUUCCAAAGAAGAAAUACAGAAAGUAGUCCAAAAGUUGCUUUUAUUCCUUUCAAUGUUUUCCUAAGGGAAUUCUAGAAAACCUUUAGAGAACAUAUUAUUCUAAUGUUAUUUAAAUUUUUUCAGAUCAUAGUAAAAAAGGAAAGUCCC